UAAAAGCCAUCCCAGUUCGGAUUGCAGGCUGCAACCCGCCUGUAUGAAGUUGGAAUCGCUAGUAAUCGCGGAUCAGCAUGCCGCGGUGAAUACGUUCCCGGGCCUUGUACACACCGCCCGUCACACCAUGAGAGUCGGGAACACCCGAAGUCCGUAGUCUAACCGCAAGGGGGACGCGGCCGAAGGUGGGUUCGAUAAUUGGGGUGAAGUCGUAACAAGGUAGC
rnacentral:rRNA from 1 species